AUUGAACGCUAGCGGGAUGCCUUACACAUGCAAGUCGAACGGCAGCACGGACUUCGGUCUGGUGGCGAGUGGCGAACGGGUGAGUAAUGUAUCGGAACGUGCCCAGUAGCGGGGGAUAACUACGCGAAAGCGUAGCUAAUACCGCAUACGCCCUUAGGGGGAAAGCAGGGGAUCGCAAGACCUUGCACUAUUGGAGCGGCCGAUAUCGGAUUAGCUAGUUGGUGAGGUAAUGGCUCACCAAGGCCGCGAUCCGUAGCUGGUUUGAGAGGACGACCAGCCACACUGGGACUGAGACACGGCCCAGACUCCUACGGGAGGCAGCAGUGGGGAAUUUUGGACAAUGGGGGAAACCCUGAUCCAGCCAUCCCGCGCGUGCGAUGAAGGCCUUCGGGUUGUAAAGCACUUUUGGCAGGAAAGAAACGGCGCGUGCUAAUACCAUGCGCAACUGACGGUACCUGCAGAAUAAGCACCGGCUAACUACGUGCCAGCAGCCGCAGUAA
rnacentral:rRNA from 1 species